rnacentral:rRNA from 1 species
UACGGAGGGGACUAGCGUUGUUCGGAAUUACUGGGCGUAAAGCGCGCGUAGGCGGAUUUGUAAGUCAGGGGUGAAAUCCCGGGGCUCAACCUCGGAACUGCCUUUGAUACUGCAAAUCUCGAGUCCGGAAGAGGUGAGUGGAAUUCCUAGUGUAGAGGUGAAAUUCGUAGAUAUUAGGAAGAACACCAGUGGCGAAGGCGGCUCACUGGACCGGUACUGACGCUGAGGUGCGAAAGCUUGGGGAGCAAACAGG